rnacentral:rRNA from 1 species
AGCAGCCGCGGUAAUUCCAGCUCCAAUAGCGUAUAUUAAAGUUGUUGCAGUUAAAAAGCUCGUAGUUGAAUUUCGGGGUCAGUAGAUUGGUCAUGCCUCCGGUAUGUACUGGUCUUACUGGCUCCUCCCUCCUGAUGAACCGUAAUGCCAUUAAUUUGGUGUUGCGGGGAGACUGGACUGUUACUUUGAAAAAAUUGAGUGUUUAAAGCAGGCUAACGCUUGAAUACAUUAGCAUGGAAUAAUGAAAUAGGACGUUCGAUCUUAUUUUGUGGUUUCUAAGAUUGACGUAAUGAUUAAUAGGGAUAGUUGGGGCAUUAGUAUUCAAUCGUCAGAGGUGAAAUUCUUGGAUUUAUUGAAGACUAACUACUGCGAAAGCAUUUGCCAAGGAUGUUUCAUUAAUCAAGAACG